GACGUGCUUGCACUGAUUUUAACAAUGAAGCGAGUGGCGAACUGGUGAGUAACACGUGGGAAAUCUGCCCAGAAGCAGGGGAUAACACUUGGAAACAGGUGCUAAUACCGUAUAACAACAAAAUCCGCAUGGAUUUUGUUUGAAAGGUGGCUUCGGCUAUCACUUCUGGAUGAUCCCGCGGCGUAUUAGUUAGUUGGUGAGGUAAAGGCCCACCAAGACGAUGAUACGUAGCCGACCUGAGAGGGUAAUCGGCCACAUUGGGACUGAGACACGGCCCAAACUCCUACGGGAGGCAGCAGUAGGGAAUCUUCCACAAUGGACGAAAGUCUGAUGGAGCAAUGCCGCGUGAGUGAAGAAGGGUUUCGGCUCGUAAAACUCUGUUGUUAAAGAAGAACACCUUUGAGAGUAACUGUUCAAGGGUUGACGGUAUUUAACCAGAAAGCCACGGCUAACUACGUGCCAGCAGCCGCGGUAAUACGUAGGUGGCAAGCGUUGUCCGGAUUUAUUGGGCGUAAAGCGAGCGCAGGCGG
rnacentral:rRNA from 2 species